CGUGGACUUGCUCCUGAGAUUACGGCGGACGGGUGAGUACACGUGGGCACCUGCCUAUAAGACUGGGAUAACUUCGGGAAACCGGAGCUAAUACCGGAUACGUUCUUUUCUCGCAUGAGAGAAGAUGGAAAGACGGUUUACGCUGUCACUUAUAGAUGGGCCCGCGGCGCAUUAGCUAGUUGGUGAGGUAAUGGCUCACCAAGGCGACGAUGCGUAGCCGACCUGAGAGGGUGAUCGGCCACACUGGGACUGAGACACGGCCCAGACUCCUACGGGAGGCAGCAGUAGGGAAUCUUCCGCAAUGGACGAAAGUCUGACGGAGCAACGCCGCGUGAACGAAGAAGGCCUUCGGGUCGUAAAGUUCUGUUGUUAGGGAAGAACAAGUACCAGAGUAACUGCUGGUACCUUGACGGUACCUAACCAGAAAGCCACGGCUAACUACGUGCCA
rnacentral:rRNA from 2 species